UGAAGUGAUGACUGCGCAAGUCCUGAUCCCACGUCGUGUACGUGGAUGGGCCGUGCGUACGGAGGGAACAUGCGGGUUGUGCGCACGCCCUGCGGCCACUGUACGUGCAUGCGCGCGUGCAUAGUGCCUAGCACCCGUGCAGACAAACUACUUUCUCAUUUUUUAAAAUUUUAAAAUUAAUCCCGAACUAAAUUUCAGGCUCGAUUAUUACAAUCAGGACCACUUUUAAAGUGUGGGGGGUUAAGUUUCCUAAACUCUGUU
rnacentral:lncRNA from 1 species